rnacentral:rRNA from 1 species
GACGAACGCUGGCGGCGUGCUUAACACAUGCAAGUCGAGCGGUAAGGCCCUUUCGGGGGUACACGAGCGGCGAACGGGUGAGUAACACGUGGGUGACCUGCCCUCAGCUCUGGGAUAAGCCUGGGAAACCGGGUCUAAUACCGGAUAUGACUCCAUGACGCAUGUUGUGGGGUGGAAAGCCUUGUGCGGCUGGGGGAUGGGCCCGCGGCCUAUCAGCUUGUUGGUGGGGUGANGGCCUACCAAGGCGACGACGGGUAGCCGGCCUGAGAGGGCGACCGGCCACACUGGGACUGAGACACGGCCCAGACUCCUACGGGAGGCAGCAGUGGGGAAUCUUGCGCAAUGGGCGAAAGCCUGACGCAGCGACGCCGCGUGAGGGAUGACGGCCU